rnacentral:lncRNA from 1 species
CUUGUGGAGUAGAGGCUGCGUGCUAGGGGCAGCAGUGUGUGGCGAUUCACCGUGUUGCUUCGACAUUUGAAGUCGACGACGACCUUACAUUCAAAGAGGUCUGCUUUGUCUACACUCCAUUUGAAGUCGUCAAUCCCCAAUUCCUAAUUUUGAAGGGUUGGUUCUUCUCUGUAGCAAGAGAGCCUUAGAUUAUAAAAUUACAUAGCUUUCUUAUGGAUACUCAACUAAGAAGGCCCAUGAUACUCAAUGUUAAGGUCGGAGAUAAAGUUUUCCUCAAAAGCAUUCUAAACUCUACCGAGGUUGUAGCAAGAUGAAGGGUCCAGAGCUUGGACCCGAAUGAUCUAGUUGGUGGUACAGAGAUUGGACCAGAAUAGUGUGAGGUAAACGUUCAAGUACCAAUAAAAAAGAUGAAAACUUGGUAAGACCAUAUGGUUUAUUUUCUACAAUUCAAGAUUAUAUUGGUGCAUCCAUCUCAUGGCCCUAUCCAUUCAUCUCGGUAGUCCAUGAGGAUUGAGGACGCACGAUGACUCAAGAUUUUUCUUCUUAUUUCUUUAAUUGCUUUUAAUUUCUUUGUUAAAUGUUAAGACUUUAUGUUAGAUAAUCUUAUAACUUACUUAUGGUUAGUGUUUUUGUUAUAAAUAUGCUUAUUUGAAAAAUAAUGAAGUUUUAUUUCUU